GACAGAGGUGCCAAGCGUUAGGCGGAAUCACUGGGCUUAAAGCGUGUGUAGGCGGACCGUUAAGUGCCUUGUGAAAUCCCAUGGCUCAACCAUGGAACUGCUGGGCAUACUGGCGGUCUUGAGUCACCCAGGGGUUGCCGGAACAAAUGGUGGAGCGGUGAAAUGCGUAGAUAUCAUUUGGAACGCCAAUGGCGAAAGCAGGCAACUGGGGGUGAUCUGACGCUGAGACACGAAAGCCAGGGGAGCGAACGGG
rnacentral:rRNA from 1 species